rnacentral:rRNA from 1 species
CACGUAGGGCGCAAGCGUUGUCCGGAAUUAUUGGGCGUAAAGAGCUCGUAGGUGGUUUGUUACGUCCGCUGUGAAAUCCUAGGGCUUAACCCUGGGCUUGCGGUCGAUACGGGCAUGACUGGAGUUCGGCAGGGGAGACUGGAAUUCCUGGUGUAGCGGUGAAAUGCGCAGAUAUCGGGAGGAACACCAGUGGCGAAGGCGGUUGCCUGGAGCUUUGCUGACGCUGAGGCGCGAAAGCGUGGGGAGCGAUCCGG